GACGAACGCUGGCGGCGUGCUUAACACAUGCAAGUCGAGCGGAAAGGCCCUUCGGGGUACUCGAGCGGCGAACGGGUGAGUAACACGUGGGUAACCUGCCCCAGACUUUGGGAUAACCCUCGGAAACGGGGGCUAAUACCGGAUACGACACAGCUUCGCAUGGGGUCUGUGUGGAAAGUUUUUCGGUUUGGGAUGGGCUCGCGGCCUAUCAGCUUGUUGGUGGGGUGAUGGCCUACCAAGGCGACGACGGGUAGCCGGCCUGAGAGGGCGACCGGCCACACGGGGACUGGGACACGGCCCAGGCUCCUAGGGGGGGCAGGAGUGGGGAAUUUUGCAAAAGGGGGGGAAGCCUGAUGCAGGGGCGCCGGGGGGGGGAGGAGGGCCUUGGGGUUGUAAACCCCUUUCGGCGGGGGCGAAGGGUAAGGGACGGUACCUGAAGAAGAAGCGCCGGCCAACUACGU
rnacentral:rRNA from 1 species